rnacentral:rRNA from 1 species
UGGUGGAGUGAUUUGUCUGGUUAAUUCCGUUAACGAACGAGACCUCAGCCUGCUAAAUAGUUGCGUGAACCUUCUAAUUGGGUGAAUCGUUGGUUUAACUGUGUCAGCUUGCUGGUGCAGUUACCUGCGUGGAUCCUUGAUGUGUUCAUGAAAAUACUUCUUAGAGGGACUAUUAGUAUCUAGCUAAUGGAAGUUUGAGGCAAUAACA